rnacentral:lncRNA from 1 species
CACAAAAUUCUGUGAAGAAGAGGAUAGUCACUAAAACUUGAAGGUGUUUUGUUUAUUCAACUUGGACUAACUUUGCCUGGUUAAGGCUGAUACUGUGAUGAAACUUCCUGUCACUUGUUAAAAUUCUACAAAAAUCAAAAUAACAUCCACUUUUCUGGUGUUUUCUUUGCCUUGCGCAGAGUUGUGAUGUAGUUUUUGGUUAUUAAGAUCAUCUUGCUCUCUGAUUUUUCACCUUCCAAUUCUUUCUACGUAGUAAUUUUCGCCAUGUUAAAGUUGGUAAACAAAAGACUAGCCGCUUAAUUAUAUUACACAUAAGUCUUAACAAGAAGAGGAGCCUUGGCAUAACUGGUAAAGUUGUUGUUAUGUGACCAGUAGGUCACGCAUUCGAGCCGUGUAAAUUGCCUCUAGCAGAAAUGCAGAAUAAGGAUGCGUACAAUAGACCCUUGUGGUUCGUCCCUUCUCCGUACCCCGCGCAUAGAGGGAGCUUAGUGCACCGGGAUGCCCUAUAAGUCAUAACCAACUUGAAUUUUGUCCUUAUAUUUGAUAAUUCCCUCAACACUUCUACUUGUUACUGGUAUACUUCUUCCUUAGGGAGAACUAUUCACUUGUUAUAGUCUUCCAAAGUUGGACGAUAACCAUGUAAUCUGAAGGGGGUAAUUAACUUGAAUAAUACAAACAAAUUGAAGACUUAUAGCUAACAGACAUACAAGCAGGUCUAAAAUGCCCUACAACAACACAAGGAAAACAUGGUACACAAGUUAAAUGAAUCUUUUUCUUUUGAUAAUGGUGGUGUGUCCUGAAAUGAGCUUAACUGGAGUUACAUUGUCAGUCGGUGAGGAUUCAUAUAGCCGACCCCAACUUGUUUGGGAUUGAGGCGUAAUUUUUUUUGUUGAUAAAUGUGGCAUCAACGAGCUUGUGAGCACCUCACUAUUCCAUCGAGUACCACCAAUGAAAUAGAUUUGUUUGUAGACAAGAAUGUGGUUUAGGCUCAACAUGAAAUAGAGAAAGAUGCAAUGAUUAUUGACAUGAUGUUGAGAGCUUCUUGAGUCUUGCAAGACAAUUAUCAGUAGGACUAGGAAUCGGUAGAUACGCCACCCUUAUUUCUGGAUUAAGCCGCUCAAGCCUGCGCAGAACAAAUUCAAGCCAAUUAUGCCUAAUUCUUAACUCAAUUAUAUCAUGUGGAGUUGCAGAACUCAAUGUGUUUAUAAUGUUAAUACCUAUAGUAAAGAAGAAAAUAGUGAAGAAAUACUGAAACUUCAAGCCUAGCCAACUCUGCUCCGGGGCACAACCGGGGGCCUGCUCCAAAGGGAAGAAAGGCGCUAAAUGGCUUUGUCUCAUGAGCCUGUUAAGAAUCAAAUGUGUAACUUCCUUAGCCAUAAAACUUAGUAUAUCAUGUAACCAUGACCAAAUCUUGGUUUUAUCAUCCAUCUUAGGAUGAGUAUAAAAUGGCAGUCCGGUGCACUAAGCUCCCUCUAUGCGUGAGGUUCGAGGAAGAGCAGGACCACAAGGGUCUAAUGUACGCAGCCUUACCCUGCAUUUCUGCAAGAGACUGUUUCCAGAGCUCGAACCCGUGAUCUUUUGGUCACAUAGCAGCAUCUUAGGAUGAGUAUAACAAGUGGAAAAUUCACUCUAAAGGAAGAAGAAACCAGUAACAAAUAGAAGUGCUACUUAAUACUUACAUCCCAUCUUAAAGGAUUAAACUCUUUGGGGUUCACAUAAUUGUUAGGAUCCAAAUGAACUUGCCUAAUCCAAGUCAAUACCUUCCAUCCUUUCGGUAUGGUGUACCCUACAAAAUUUACAUAAGACAUCUUAUUUGCUCAAAAUUUGCCAAAGGAAGGUGAACAAGAGAAGAAAAGAUGAAGUUUACCAUUCAUGUUGAUGGUCCUUUUCGCGUUUCUAUAAAUCGCUAAGGUGAUAUUAGAACAACGUAGAGUUUCAUCAAUCACCUUGAAUAUAAACACAAUCUAUGUCAAAAUUCUUGAACUUUAAAAGGUCUCUUAUGAGUUAUGACUUGCUUGCAUUUUCGUACGACUAGAUUAUUUACCUUGGUUAGAUAUUUCAUCUGUCUAAUCUCGUCGUAGCUUAGAUUUUUAUCAGAAUGCAGCCUAUUCUUAACAAUUUCCUGUUGUUCCUCCUGAAAAUAUAGAAUUUCUUAGCAUCACUUAACUAGUCAAACAUUAAUAAGGUUCAUAUACCUGCAUCUCAAAUAAGAUUACUUGUUAUUACCUUAGCUUUUUGGAAGAAUUCAGGAUGUUGUUCUAAGUACAUAAUAGCCCAUGCUGUAGUAUGAGCAGUAGUUUCAUGACCUGCAAAUGCAUACACAAUUAACAAGUCGAUGAUCUCCUCAUCGCUUAAUCUUUUGCCUUCCUCGUCUUCAAUGCACAUAAUCAAAUCCACCAUAUUGCACUUUACUCUUGAUUUAUCCCUCAUAUUCAUGACUUUUCUUUCAUCUAUUACUGAUUGAAAUAUCUUGAUUAAGUUUGCUCUAGCCUAGUGCCACAACAACAGAAGGGAACACAAGUUAGUGAUUAAGAAACAAACAUCAGCUUUAACCUCUUAAAAUUUCAUAGGAGUGCAGUUUUCCCUUUUCUCUAAUAGGGGAAGUGCAGGGGCAAAUGCUUAUUCUUCGACUUUGGGUGUUUGGUAUGAUGGAAGUCAUUUUCUGAAAUAUGGCUUAUUUUCCGAUGUCCUGGAGAAUGAAAAAUAUUUUCCGGAAAAAAAUAUAUUUAUUAAAGAUUGAUAAUUUUAUUACCAAACCGGAUAAUGUUCUGAUGAAAAUUUUGAGUAUUAAAGAUUGAUAAUAAUGUCUAAUGUGUUGGUUAGAGCAAUGAUAUGAAGUUACGAGUUGAGAUAGUUGUAAAGGAAAAUGACUUCCGUCCAAAGUGAUAACAAGAUCUGCUUACUCCCUCAUUUAACAAGAUCGUGAUGACAAGUGGCCUUUUACUGAACCUCGAUCAGCUUAAACUUGAAACUGCCUCAAAAGUAAAUAGAUCCCGACAUACUUUCUGAAAAUAUGUUUCUCUAUAUCAAACACACCCUCAAACUCUAUAUAUUAUAUAUUGUGAACUUUCAAAAACUAUAUAUCGAUACUAUAGUACUCACCCAUUGUCACAUAUGAUUAGUGAAUGCGGUGGUACUUUGCGCCCACUGACUUAAAAUUUUGUUUCUGUCUCUAGUAAAGGGUGUAUAAAAAUGGGAGAUAGAUCUAACCUUGAAUGCCCUAUGAUAAGCAAAUCCAGGGAGAUUGAUAGGUAGAGCCAUAAAACCAUGUGAAUAAAUUUUGUACACUUUUUCCACCAUAUCUAACCAUUUGGGAUCAAUUUCACUACCCAUCAUAAUUCUUAUAAUCACUUCAAAUGUAGCCUUCUUCAUUUUACUUACAAACUCAACUGGUUUUUCUCCUAUUUCAGCCCAUUUUUCAUAUGAACUCUUCACAACUUCCUCAAUUAGACCAAGAUACAAUGACAAUGCCUGUUGACCUUUAAUUGGAGCUGUUGUUAUUCGACGAAGACGCUUGUGUUCUUGAUUUGUAAUUCCAUGUAAUGCUUUCUUUCCAAUUAGAUUUAACAUUCAGGCCAACCCAACUCAAAGUUUUCAUUAUCCAUCAAGAUUUUCCUGCAUAUUUCUGGUUUUGUGACAAUGAUGCUUGGCAUUCCAAACAUAAAUGCCUUGUACAUUCCUCCUUGUCCAUACCUUCAUUAUAUUUCAUAUUUUUGACCAAAUAAUAAAGAUUGUUAGAUUGCUAUCACUAAAGAAAUCAAAUCAAUCUAGUUAAGCCAAUAGCAAAAAGAAAGGAAGAAAGAAAGGGAGCAACGGAGCAACCGUAAAGUUAUUUAUGUGUGACCUAUAGGCCACGUAUUCGAGCCGUGUAAGCAGCCGCUAAUGCUUGCAUUAGGAUAGGCUGUCUACAUCACAUACCGGGUUCCUUCGUGAUGCCUUGCGCACCGAGUUGAAUUUUUUUUUUUUAAUAUAAAAGAAAGGAAGAAAUAUUCAAAUUUACCCCUCUAAUGUACGAAAUAUCCUAUUUUAUCCUCCGUUAUACUUUGGUUAUUAGCAACUUGUUUCAUAUUUAUCCUUAACUUGAACGAUGCUAUAGCGUGCACUAGAUGAAUUCUACAUAUUAAAAUAAUUUGAGAAAAAGUUUCAAAUUUACCAAUCUACUUUUGGUUGGUUUAAAAUUAUCCUCGUUAUACGUCAAAUUAGAGCUCCGUCUGGGUCAACGAAAACUACAAUACGAUUUGCGGACCGCAAGGAUAUGAAAGUACAUAAAUGAGGGCAAAAUUAAAAUACUCAUAUAGUAGAUGAUGUUUUUUUUAAAAAUAUCUUUUUCCUAAAAGAAGAGGAUAAUUAUGGUAGGAGACAUACCUAGAGGUAAAGUAAGAGAUAAAUGAAUCAGGAUCACCAUAUUUGAAAGUAGUAAAGAAAGUGAACAUAUUCCCAAUAAAUGGCCAGCUCAUGUCACCUGGAGGUAUGCAGUAGUACUUGUUUGAACUAAAUUUGCUAGUGUAAAACCAGUCAUUUGCUCUCUUUAGCAAACAAUAAAUGGUAAAAAUCCCAAUUGCCAAAACUGUGAAAAAAAUGGAUCCUAAAUCAUACUCCAUUUUCACUAUUUAGGCAAACCAAGAAAGUUUUUGCAUGCAAAAUAUAAAUAUGAUUCAGUUGGUUUUAUAAAGAGUACAUCACAUUCAGAGCAGUUUUCAUAAAUUAGACGGCAGAUAAUGACAUUAUGUUUGGACACAUAUAUUAUAUUGUUUAAUAUGGUGUCAUCUGCCGCUUCACCAAUUUUUUUAUUAUUAAAUGUAUAUAUGUACACAAUUAUAUAUAUAUAUAUAUAUAUAUAUAUAUAUAUNNNNNNNNNNNNNNUUGUUUAAUGCUACAACACGACGUAGCUUAGAGGCGAACUGAGGAUUUAAAUUUAAUUUGAUCUUUAAAGUUUUAAGUAUUGGAGUCAUUUUUUCUUAUAACUAUAGUGUCCAAGUUAGUUUGCGUGCGCCUCGACUGAUUCCACGGGAUACUUGCCACCUACUACCAAAAUUAUGCAGAAGCAAAAUUAGGAUUUCAAGCUUAUUAGUUCGGAAUUCUAGAGCAUUUGAGUUAUUGAGUUCUAAAUUAUUAAAUUGUAAAUAAUCAAUGAAUUGUUCAAGACAAAUACAAGGUUUGAACCAAAGCUACUGGGUUCGCUGAACCCGUAGCUAGAACACUAGCUACGCCCCUAAAAACAGGUAACAUGUAAUUCUAUCCACCAAAACUUGGACGAAUGAGAAGAAAUCACUUAGUGUUUUUUUUUGCCUCCACUGGGAUUGAACCUGAAACCUCAUAGUUCUCACACACUUCACUUUUGUUCAAUGCUACAACCAGUGGCGUAUGCACCUUAUACCAUGCGGUGUCACGGAACACCACUUGGUCAAAAAGAGUUACUAAAUAUUUAUAAGAAAAAUAAAAUAUUAGGAAUACGUAUAGACAAUGACACUGUUUGUCAUUAUAGUGAUCUAUUUAUAUAUAUUCAUUUUUCUAAUUAUGACACCGCUUACAUAAGAUCCUAUGUACGCCACUGGCUACAACAUGAUGUAGAGGUUACAAACGAUCUUUGUUGUUUAAUGCUACCAGAUGCAGAUCUAGAAUUUUAAUUUUAUGUGUUCAAUAUUCAAAAUUUUUAGCAUUGAAUCCAUUAUAUUUUUAAAGUUAUGAGUUCAUAUCUAUUAUUUUCUAUACAUAAAUUUAUAUUCUAUGGCGAAAGUACUAGAUUCAGUUGAACCCGAUAACUUUAUGUUGCAUCCGCCCCUGAAUGCUACAAUACGAUAUAGAGACGAAUCGAGUAUUUAAAUUUGAUUCGAUCUUUUAAAGUUUAAAGUACCCCGGAAUUGUGAAGCCGGCUCGUACUGUCGAUGCAUGUGUUAGUCUUGUCCUCUCCGUCUUAUAUUUAAUUUUAUCCAAUAUGGAAAGGCCAAAAAAAAAAGGCGUUAGCAAAAGAUUAAACGGCAACCGUAAUUGACUAUUUGACUUAUUCUUUGACAGAAUUAUUAUAUUUUGAGUGCCGCACAGCUAACCAAUAAUUUUCUUAUUUGAUUUGGGUCGAUUUUUUUCUAAAAAUAAUUAAAUCGAUUUUUUAAAUUUCAUAACUAAAUCAAACCAAUUAAGUUAAUUUUUUAUUAAAAUUUUACAAUUUUUUCAAUUUUUUGUCGGUUGUUUCUUAAAUAGAGACCAAGGUGGAUUCAUGUGUAACCAAAUUUUCGUAGUCUUUUUCUUUUUUGCCACAACAAAAUAAAAAUUAUUUGGAUGGCGACACAUAUUUAAGGUGUGCAUAAAGUCAUCUAAACCCACUAUUUUUUGCUCGAAUCACUUUUGCAUGUGUGAAAUAUUUUUAAAUCACAUUCUGAAUCUGUAGAAAAGCGAAAGUUUCUCCAUUUUCGAAACUCGGUAGGUUGGUCUGUCUGUUUCCCAUUUUGGUAAACAUUGCAACAAAAUAUGAACUUUUGCACACUUAUGAGCCACAAGUUAUCUUACAAUGUGCCAAGUAUUGAUUUUCUAAUAUCAUUAUAUUCUGAUCAUAAUAACCUUAGAGCACUUUUCCUUUAUAAAUUUUGUCUAACCAAUGAAUACUCCUCUCCACAUUAUUUAGAACUUGAUGUGCUCCUACUUCAAAAUCUGUGCAACAUCUAACAGUCUGCUUUCACUCUUCUCCACUCAUAUGAUUAUCACAUCCCAAACAAACAUUAAGGGCCAACCAAACACUACAAUACGUCAAGAUAUACUAAUAAUUUAUGAAAUUUUUAGUUGAAAUUGUUUCAUGUCAAAACUACCUACUCUUAGUCUGAUUUUUAGCCGUAGCCAGCUCGAACCACCUCAGCCUGGUUUGCCGUUCUAGAGGACCCUGAACAAGAAGCGACAAAGAUAUCUGAUCCAGACACUGCUAAACCACGAGAGAUUGUUCAUCAACAAUUUUGAAAAGUCAAGUAACUUUGUGACUUUAGAUUAGGGUAAGGUUGUGUACAAUAGACCCUUGUAGUCCGGCCCUUCCCAGAUCCCGCGCACAGCAAGAGCUUAGUCCAUCGGGCUGCUCUUUAAGUAACUUCGCGACCUUCGAUUCAGGGUAAUGUUGUGUACAAUAGACCCUUGUAGUCCGAUCCUUCCCCAAACCCCGCGCAUAGCGGGAACCGGUGGCGGAGGCAGGAUUUCCGUUGAGGGGGUUCAAACAAGGAAAAAGUUAUAAAAUUGAAAGAGGUUGUGCGCAGUGGGAAUUGAAUAGUGACCUCACAAAGAUUUUGAACCCCUUGACUAUUGAGCUAUGCUUUUGGGCUAUAUCAAGGGGAUUCAAAAUAUAAUAUAUAUAAAUAAAAAAAAUAGAUUUUACAUUACAUAUACAAUGUAAUUUUUCGGCAAAAGGGGUUCGGGUGAACACCCUUCCGCCCCUCUAAAUCCGUCCCUGACGGGAGCUUAGUGCACCGGGCUGCCCUUUAAGUAACUUCGCAACCUUAGAUUCAAGGUCCAUGUCUCUAACAUUGAAAUGACAACUGAAGCAAGUAACAAAGUAAAAAACAGAACACAUUAGAAUGUCUGUGGCAAGGUGCAUGUAAUUUGCCAAUUCACUUUUAUUAAUAAUACACCCUUGUAGGAAGUAAACAUAAUGUAUCUCACACCUAAAGGCAGAUUUAACCACACCCCAGAACAAGGAUUUCAAUCACAAGAACUAAACAAACAACCACAAAUACAUAGAACUGGAAUGUGCUCCAUCCAUAGAGAGCACACACGGUUCACUCAUAAGGUGAGCUUUAUGAUACAGAUUACAGAGAGCGAUGACUUAUUAGCGAGCAACUAUAGCUAUAUGCUAGCUGCAAACUUCACAUAUAACCAUUACACAGAACAGCAACCUCUGAAGAUUGAGUAUGAGAAAUGGACAUUAAUUCCGACCUGAAAUCCUCAGUUCCGUGACUUCCCUCCCUUGAAGCCACUAUAGUUUCGUUCGAGCUGCAAGAAUUCUCUACAAAUACUAUAUCUGGUAACGAGUUAGAUAAAGCGAUGAGCAAUUCACGUGCCACCUCGAAAGGAGCCUCCUCUCCAAGUGCUCUAUUUGCCAUAAAACUGUAAAUCCUUCCACCUGAAAUCUGAAACAACUAGUUGGUUCAUACAUUUUCUAAAUGUAACAUCCACUUUAAAGCUACAACAACAACAAACCCAGUGUAAUCUCACAAGUGGAAUGUGUGGAAUAGUGUGUACGUAGACCAUGGAAUGUAGAGAGGUUGUUAUCAACUUUAAAGCUAUAAGCUAAAAUUUGGUUCUUUCAAGUUUAAAGAGGCAUGAUGAAUGAUAACCAAUAGAAGUGCUAUCUCAAAAGCUAGUAGUUAGCUAAUGCCCCAAAGCAAUAAUACUCGUCUCUUAAUGUUCUAUUGUCCCGCUACAGCAACAACCUAUGUUGCACGGGCUCUCAGAAAAUAAUGCCGGGUGCGUGUAAUAAUGUAAUUUUGGAGGAUCCGAUACGGGUGCAACAUCAUUUUGGAGAGUCCGUGCAACAUAGGCAACAACAACAACAAUAUACCACGUGUAAUCCCACAAGUGGGGGUGGUAGGGAGGGUAGUACGUACGUACGCAGACCUUACCCCUACCUUGUGCAGGUAGAGAGGCUGUUUCCGCUAGAGUCUAGACCCUCGGCUCAAGGAGAACCAUUGCCCCGCUAUAGCACUUACACAAACUAUUCACCAUAAUACUUUCAAGAAUGGUCAGCCAUUGGAGAAAAUAUUUUCAAGAAAUGGCCAACAAUUCCUGCUUGAAACAGUAACUAUAUGUGAAGGAAAUGACUAGAAAGCAUUGAUGUCGACAACAUGAUGGUUCACCUUAACAGUAAAAGAAACAUUCAAUAGAAUCAUUAAAGGCACAUAAUAAGUAAAUUAUACUAUAUUAGCGAAGGCAUAUAAUGACUGGAGUUACUGGAUUCUGAUUGACUUAGUACUUCCUCUGUUUCAAUUUAUGUGAACUCAUUUAAUUGGACAUGGAGUUUAAGAAAAGAGAGAAAACUUUUGAACUUGUGGUGUAAAAUGAGGCACAUUUAUUUUGUAUGGCUAUAGUAGAGAAGGAUCUAACUUGUCUCCUUUGAGUUUAUACCAGAUGAUAUAAGUUCAACCAUAAACACUUGUUCCUGUUUUCCUCCCUUUUUAGUCAAAAGGUAUGUCCAAUGUUAUGAUGAACUUCUGUUAUAUUUUUACAACAUAAACUCCACUCAUGUAAGUUUCACAUAACAUAGUCGGUUCCAAGCCCAAAUAAAGAAAGAAGGUUGCGAUAAGUUGACAACCAGCAUAAAAAAAUUAAUCUUCUGAAUGCCAACAGAACGGAUACAGAGGAUUCAUAUAGCAAACCUAGUUGGGAUUGAGUCGUAAUAAUUUGAAAUACAACUACAACAUAAGCAAAUAACGUCAUUUUUGCCCCAAGACAAAAGCUGAUGGAUGGAGGACUACUUUUAAGAAGGCGACUUAUAAUUAGCAUAACACAUAACCUAAAAUGAAGCAUGUUUAACUCAAGACAAUCAGACGAGAAGAGGGGUGUUAUAAUGAGCAAUAGAUGCUUUAUGUUUGAAAAAGAUUAGGAAAAUGCCAACCAUAUCUUCCUACAUUGCCUAGAGGCAAAAGAGUUAUAAAGCCUGAUUUUUUUAAAAACUUAUUUGCCUAGAGGGGAACAAGAUUCAUAAGAAGAGUAGCUUUGGGAAACCUUCUUCAUGCAUUUGUUUGGAUUAAAGACUUGAGUUUAAUUGUUACACCACUCAUUGAAGGAUAAGUGUGAGUUCUAGGGAAACUUUGGAUAUUUUAUUUCUCAACCUUUUCAGACUUGUUUCAAAAUUUCAUUAUAUACACGAAGCGGGGUACUUCUACGUUAUCGACCCUUACUAAAAUUGCAUUUCUUGUUGUAAAGUCGGCUCAAAAGAACCUCAAAUUUGUUUUCGAAAACAUAAAUUAACAUAAUUGACUACUUGAGCCUAACUCAACCCCAAAAACUAGCUCAUAAAGAGAGGAUUGCCCAAGUCCAUAUAAGGAGACGACCAACUCAUUAUCCAACCAAUGUAGGACCCUAACCCACUAUUAGCCUCUCCCCCGCAUGCCCAAACCACCAAGCGUGGACAAUAUAACACAGGAACCCAAACGAGAACGGACCUGACUCUGGUACCAUGUAAGAUAUGACAGUUGGUCCUAACUCAACUUCAAAAGCUAGCUCAAAUAUAAUUGAAUGGAUAUAGAGAAUUCAUAUAACAGACUCUCAACAGCUUGGUUUUGAGAAUUGUUGAUUCAUAUAUGAUCUUCUUUCCUCCACUUUAAUUUCUUUUCUGAGAAACUUGAGAAAAAAAUUCCCAUGGGGUUUUCUAAAGAACUGGAGUAUUUUUCUUUUUAAACUAAGAAAUCCCCGAGUGAUGCUCCGGUGGAUAACGGGCCCAUCAAUCAAUCCUUCUCCACUUAAAUAGUAUACAGUGUUCGUACCCAUGACGUGCGCCUAACCAAUACAAUGCUAACCAACCCAAGAUAUGAUAGAUGUUGUAACUAGUUUCAUGUUAUUAGCAAUAAGAAAUCAAAUUUUCUCCAUAAGCAAAAAAGGAAAUACCUUUUCUGGAAAAAAAUUUAAAAAGAAAAGAUGAGAUCUUCCCUUUUCUGUGUAUAACUUAAAACCUAUACAUCGAUUUCUUGUUAAACAUAGAUCCAUAAUUAUCACAUUUAGAAAUAAAGAGAAUAUAAGAAAAUAACACUAUAAAUAUCUUAUGUGUUAUAUUGAUCUUAUGUGGAACAUUUAUAAUGUAUCAUAAAAUCGAACUUUCCUUUUGCCAAAUCAAAU